rnacentral:pre_miRNA from 1 species
UCUUAUGGAUGAGCAAAGAAAGUAGUUUCUUGAGAUCGAAUCUACUCCUAUUGAAAAUACUGUGAA